AAUACAUAAUCAGUACUGUUGUUUAUCAUCAUCAUUAUUAUUAUUAUUUAUUAACAACAGUGGUGUGGAACCCAAUUUCUCAGUGCCUGAGGUCAGCCCCCAAUGGAUGACUCACGCACAUGGCCGAUCUACAUAAUGGGCUAAGAUUACCAUCUGGUAUAACAAUCUACAUCACAAGACUCCACAUUUCCUGUUACCCAGGUUUGUUUCUGGAAUGAAGAUACCGAAGCAUGUCCUGAAAACACACAAGGAAAGCCCAGCCCCUUGAGGAUUCCUUUAGUAUUUUGUAUUUCUAAUAAAGACAUCCACAUCUGAAAUCAUUCUCACACAGAACUAACUUUGCUUCGUUUUUAAGAUUUUCCUACCCAUAAAGAUGUUAUUACUGUCAUAACUGGA
rnacentral:lncRNA from 1 species